rnacentral:rRNA from 1 species
GAUGAACGCUGGCGGCGUGCCUAAUACAUGCAAGUCGAGCGAACAGACGAGGAGCUUGCUCCUCUGACGUUAGCGGCGGACGGGUGAGUAACACGUGGAUAACCUACCUAUAAGACUGGGAUAACUUCGGGAAACCGGAGCUAAUACCGGAUAAUAUAUUGAACCGCAUGGUUCAAUAGUGAAAGACGGUUUUGCUGUCACUUAUAGAUGGAUCCGCGCCGCAUUAGCUAGUUGGUAAGGUAACGGCUUACCAAGGCAACGAUGCGUAGCCGACCUGAGAGGGUGAUCGGCCACACUGGAACUGAGACACGGUCCAGACUCCUACGGGAGGCAGCAGGAGGGAAUCUUCCGCAAUGGGCGAAAGCUUGACGGAGCAACGCCGCGUGAGUGAUGAAGGUCUUCGGAUCGUAAAACUCUGUUAUUAGGGAAGAACAAAUGUGUAAGUAACUAUGCACGUCUUGACGGUACCUAAUCAGAAAGCCACGGCUAACUACGU